AUAAGCCACUUCUCAGUUGGAAAAGAGGGAUGUGGUAGAUUGGAUCGAGCACUCGGUGCUCGACUGUGUUGGUCUGUCUGUAUUGGAGUCGGGGAAAUGUGG